rnacentral:lncRNA from 1 species
AUGCAGGUCUUCUAUCAGAACUGGAAAGAAAAUUCAGUGCUCAAAUUUGAUACUCAAAAGAAGCAUAAGAAAAGCAGAGAGGUGGCUGGUGGCAGUGUGCUGUGCAUCUUGGCAUUUUGGUGUGGCAGAAGCUAUUGUCCAGGUUUGGCGGUGAGAGUCCUUGAUACACUACUGGGGGAAGCUUAGCAACCUCGUUCAGAAAUUCUUCCCAACAAGACAUUUAUAUAUUCAAGAGGCAAAAAGCAACAAUAAGGU